rnacentral:rRNA from 1 species
UACCAGCACCCCGAGUGGUCGGGACGUUUUAUUGGGCCUAAAGCAUCCGUAGCCGGUUCUGGCAAGUCUUCCGUUAAAUCCACCUGCUUAACAGAUGGGCCGCGGAAGAUACUAUAGAGCUAGGAGGCGGGAGAGGCAAGCGGUACUCGAUGGGUAGGGGUAAAAUCCGUUGAUCCAUUGAAGACCACCAGUGGCGAAGGCGGCUUGCCAGAACGCGCUCGACGGUGAGGAUGAAAGCUGGGGGAGCAACCGG